rnacentral:pre_miRNA from 1 species
AAAGUACUCCCUCCGUCCCAAAAUUUCUUGUCUUAGAUUUGCCUAGAUACGGAUGUAUCAAGUCACAUUUUAGUAUUAGAUACAUCCGUAUCUAGACAAAUCUAAGACAAGAAAUUUGGGACAGAGGGAGUAGUUG